ACCACAACAGGUGGAGCCUGCGGUUUAAUCGGACUCAACGCCGGGAAGCUCACCGGAUAAGACAGCGGAAUGAUAGCCGGGCUGAAGACUCUGCUUGACUAGCUGAGAGGAGGUGCAUGGCCGUCGUCAGUUCGUACUGUGAAGCAUCCUGUUAAGUCAGGCAACGAGCGAGACCCACGCCAACAGUUGCCAGCAUGUCCUCCGGGAUGGUGGGGACACUGUUGGGACCGCCUCUGCUAAAGAGGAGGAAGGAAUGGGCAACGGUAGGUCAGCAUGCCCCGAAUUAUCCGGGCUACACGCGGGCUACAAUGGUCAGGACAAUGGGCAUCAACACCGAAAGGUGGAGGCAAUCUCUUAAACCUGUCCUUAGUUCGGAUUGUGGGCUGCAACUCGCCCACAUGAAGCUGGAAUCUGUAGUAAUCGCGUCUCAAAAUGGCGCGGUGAAUAUGUCCCUGCUCCUU
rnacentral:rRNA from 1 species